rnacentral:sRNA from 1 species
GUUGACUGCAGUCUUAAAAUUCAGUCUCCAAAAUGAACAGGUGGUUUGUCGUGACUUUCUUACUGACCAUCGGUCUACUAUCCGUUCUUUCUAUGGAUGACAAAGUGAUUGGCGAUAGAGAACUGAUCGAUAUAAGAUGAUGACGAACGUGAGCUCGCCUACAAACUUAUAGAUUGUCUAAGGGAAAACUUAAAAGCUUAUGCAUUUUUACAGUUUAUCCAUGCAUUAUGACUUAUAAAAUGUUUUCUCAAUUCUCAAAAAUAAAAUAUUAAAAACGUA